AACGAACGCUGGCGGCAUGCCUAACACAUGCAAGUCGAACGAGACCUUCGGGUCUAGUGGCGCUCGGGUGCGUAACGCGUGGGAAGUUGCCCUUAGGUUCGGAAUACUUCUCUGUAGGGGGUGCUAAUACAGGAUAAUGUCUUCGGAUAAAAGAUUUAUCGCCUUUGGAUGGGCCCGCGUUGGAUUAGCUAGUUGGUAGGGUAAGAGCCUAUUAUGGCGACGAUCGUUAGCUGGUAUGAGAGGAUGAUCAGCCACACUGGGACUGAGACACGGCCCAGACUCCUACGCAAGGCAGCAGAGGGUAAUAUUGGACAAUGGGCUAAGGCCUGAUCCAGCAAUGCCGCGUAAGUGAUGAUGGCCGUAGGGUAGCAAAGCUCUUUUACCCGAGAUGAUAAUGACAGUACCGGGAGAAUAAGCACCGGCUAACUCCGUG
rnacentral:rRNA from 1 species